GGCCCGGUAGCGGAUGAUCUGCGCUUGCAUCCAAUAAUUCACAAAUUUCGGGGUUCGCAGGAGUCGCUCGUUCGAAUCGAGCCCGGGCCU